AGGCCCUUAGUUAAACGGUAUAACGACGGUCUCCAAAACCGUAGUCAGGGGUUCGACUCCUCUAGGGCCUGCCA
rnacentral:tRNA from 1 species